rnacentral:rRNA from 1 species
UGGGGAAUAUUGGACAAUGGGCGAAAGCCUGAUCCAGCCAUGCCGCAUGUGUGAAGAAGGUCUUCGGAUUGUAAAGCACUUUAAGUUGGGAGGAAGGGCAUUAACCUAAUACGUUAGUGUUUUGACGUUACCGACAGAAUAAGCACCGGCUAACUCUGUGCCAGCAGCCGCGGUAAUACAGAGGGUGCAAGCGUUAAUCGGAAUUACUGGGCGUAAAGCGCGCGUAGGUGGUUUGUUAAGUUGGAUGUGAAAGCCCCGGGCUCAACCUGGGAACUGCAUCCAAAACUGGCAAGCUAGAGUACGGUAGAGGGUGGUGGAAUUUCCUGUGUAGCGGUGAAAUGCGUAGAUAUAGGAAGGAACACCAGUGGCGAAGGCGACCACCUGGACUGAUACUGACACUGAGGUGCGAAAGCGUGGGGAGCAAACA